rnacentral:rRNA from 1 species
UACGUAGGGGCCUAGCGUUGUCCGGAUUUAUUGGGCGUAAAGAGCUCGUAGGCGGUUCGGCAAGUCAGCUGUGAAAUCUCCACGCUUAACGUGGAGGGGUCAGCUGAUACUGCCGUGACUCGAGUCCGGUAGGGGAGUGUGGAAUUCCCGGUGUAGCGGUGAAAUGCGUAGAUAUCGAGAGGAACACCUGCGGCGAAGGCGGGUUGCUGGGCUGACACUGACGCUGAGGCGCGAAAGCUAGGGGAGCGAACGGG